UGCAGCAGCCCUGCCUGGGUGAGGCACCAAAACCAAGGUGGGUGGCUGGGGAACGCAACCAGAGUGCCUUGGAGAGGCUGCCCUGGCUCCUGUCCUGGUGCAGGGUGCCUUGGCCAGCACCAUCCUGCUGCAUGGGUCCAUCCAGGUGCUUGCUGUUGGACCCUACUGAAGCCUGGUUAAGGUGAAGUGGGUGGUCUUGAGCCUGGGUCUGGAGGCUGUGGUUGUGAGAUGGAAGCAGGUUGGUUUGCCUUGGGUUAUGGGGCCAUUUUCUGCUCCAUGGCACUGUGACAUGCCAAGAAGUGACAGACACCCACCGGCUGGAGACUUUGCACAUCAGCAGCUCCAUGGAGCCCCUGGGAUACCGAGUUCCCCAAGGAAACUUGUGAACUGAAAAUAUGGCUUGUUUUCCUCAGCCUAGUGGAGAAUCCUCACUUUUGUCUCUCAAAGACCUACAAGUCACAGCCACGGACGUGCAUCGUGCCAUGGGAGAGCAGCAGUGACUGACCCAGUGCUGUGGGGCUGCAUCGCUCACCCCACUUCAUCCUGGAGAAGGUGCUGUUCCCCGAAUCAAGUCAUCAAGAUGUGGUUUUCAACCAGCUGCCCUCGUACUGAUGUAAUUCUUUCUUAAUGUUAUUGGCUGGGCUCAGGAGCAUGGCAGGAGGGCUGUGGCUGACCAGGCAGCAAAUUAACUGGAAUUUCAUUAUCUGAUAAUUUAUAUGAUGCCUGUGUUUUUUGGCAAGACACUUUCAUUAAUAGAAGAUGCCCUCUGUCCGCUGACUAUUUACACUACUGGUUUCUCAGGGACCCCAUGUGAGGCUUCCUUUUUCAGUGACCUUCAUAAAAGAGAAGAAAUGAUGCUCACUUCCCUUGAUUUUGAUAAUGAAUUUUGUUCCUUUCUGCUUUGCAAGGACUUGUUCUUCUGGGUUUAAACACCACAGGCUUAAAUUUCCUUCUAUACUGCUGUGAAUCAGGAUUCUCUUCCCCGAUGCCACUUGUGUUAAAAAAGCUGCUGGGAACCUAAGAGAGAUGCCAGGGGGACCAGUUUUUUGGAGGAUUUGGUGGCCCCAGACUGCAGGACGAGUGCAGGGAUAGGGAUUAAACACCAGCCAGCAGUGGGAGAACAUGAGGAGCGAUGACCAGCAGCUCAGCUUCUUCUGUGGCAGCCCUCAGAGAUGCUGCUGGGUCCUCUGAGUGUGGGCACGGUGCCACCACUGCUGUCACCUCUCCCUGCUUCCAGCAUGUGUCCUCAUCCAGGGCAAUGGAAGGCAGAGCAGGAUGUCACCCGCCGUGUCCAUCCCAUGAGGAGGGUGGCACCUGGCAGGGUCUAGUGAGGACAAAGCCAUCCUCAUGGGUGUGUUGUCCCCAAGAUCUCUGGUGCCUGCUUUUGAUGUCAGUUAGCCUGCUUUAGGCCAUUUGGGCUAUCUUUGUCCUCCGGUGGGGACUGUGACACUUGCAGAGAGCCCUGUUGGCUCCCUGGGAUGCUUGGGACUAAGCUUCUUAGAGGUUUUUCUUAGCUGAGGAAAACGCAGGCUCAUUAAAUCCACCUCUAAGCCCCAGUGACGUGGAGAGGUGACACCAGUGACGUGACCCUCAGAAGGCCAGCAGGAGAGCAGCCUGCAGGGGGACAAGCUGGUGCCUCGCUCUGUGAGAGGGGACAGCUCACAGCCCGCUGGUGCCUGGAGGCGGGGGCUGUGCCCGGGGGACAGACACCUCUCACCGUGUCAGCCUGGGGAAAGCUUCCCUGCAGGGAUGGGAGCUGGUGGGAACCCACCUGCAGCCUCCUGCCAUGGGGCUGGAAGCCCCUGAUGCAAUGGCAACGUGGUGGCAGUGUGACCCCAGCAGGCUUGGGUCCAUCUCCAGGUGCCCAAAAUUCCCAGACCUGCUGCAGUCCCCUGCAGCACCGCAGGCACAACACUGUUGACUCUGGAUGUCAGCAGCUCCUUCAUUUACCCAAGGCAGAUGGCUGCCCUAGCCGGGAGAGGGCUUCCUGGCAAAGAAAGUUUGCAGUUUGCAACCCUUAAGGCACAGACCAUACCCCAGGUACCCCUGGAGAAUAUUGUCCCAGCCAUCUGCAUCCUCUUCCCCCCACCUUGGGGUACUCGUAGGCAGGGGCUCUGCCACUCAGCAGCUUCCCUGCUUCACAUCAGACGGAUGCUGUGGUUUGGCUGGGAAUUAAUCUGCUGUCACCAGUGAAGGGCAAAGCCUCCACAGAGUGACAGGCAGGGACAAGCUGUUCCCCUUCCCGUCCUCCCCCUCUGAUUGAUUUGCAGAGCAGCAUCAG